UGCUCCUGCUUACUCUACGUAAAAGACCAAAUCAGAUGAGGAUCACAUCCUUCUUUCCCUUACAAACUGGAAACCCUCCCAGUGAUGACCACUGUCACAGCUGCACUGUGGUACUGAUGGAAAGAGUAAGUUUUCCUGGACACCACAAGAGUGACCUUGCUUGUGCAACCUCCUUGUGGGUCUCUGUGAUGCCGAGUCCCCCAUCAAAGCCCAGUCAUCAGGAGUCAAAAAUAAAACUAUAACACAAUGUUUCAUCAUGAUUUCUCCCCUUCUCCCUCAGCACGAAGAGCUGCAUUAUAGGAUCUCACAAAAAGCUUUACAGAAAAUAAUACAUACUUAGAAGGAGAAAUGGGGUUUGCCACUUUCUCUUCUGAGGAUGUCAACAGCUUCUGGGGACAACACUCCUUGUCUCUGCCACCACCUCAAUUCAGAGAAACCACAAGCCUGUAAUGAGUUGCCAAGAUGAGGUUUUUGCCUUAGUUAUACCAUUCCCAGAGAUUCUCACACUGGGAGAAGGGAGGAUUAAAGACAGAAAU